rnacentral:snRNA from 15 species
CUAUGAGAAGACCGUCGGAGUUGGCGGAAAGCUCGACAACAUCCUCACAGUCAUCCGGGUUGCCUUCUUCUUUGACGACAAGGAGCUCGCCAAGAAAGAGAUUGACCGUGCAAAGGUGGAGCUUGGCAAGGGUGGUGACUGGGAACGGCGG